GACGAACGCUGGCGGCGUGCCUAAUACAUGCAAGUAGAACGCUGAAGGAGGAGCUUGCUUCUCUGGAUGAGUUGCGAACGGGUGAGUAACGCGUAGGUAACCUGCCUGGUAGCGGGGGAUAACUAUUGGAAACGAUAGCUAAUACCGCAUAAGAGUAGAUGUUGCAUGACAUUUGCUUAAAAGGUGCAAUUGCAUCACUACCAGAUGGACCUGCGUUGUAUUAGCUAGUUGGUGGGGUAACGGCUUACCAAGGCGACGAUACAUAGCCGACCUGAGAGGGGGAUCGGCCACACUGGGACUGGGACACGGCCCAGACUCCUACGGGAGGCAGCAGUAGGGAAUCUUCGGCAAUGGACGGAAGUCUGACCGAGCAACGCCGCGUGAGUGAAGAAGGUUUUCGGAUCGUAAAGCUCUGUUGUAAGAGAAGAACGAGUGUGAGAGUGGAAAGUUCACACUGUGACGGUAUCUUACCAGAAAGGGACGGCUAACUACGUG
rnacentral:rRNA from 1 species